AAUAAUUUCAAAAGUAAAAACUUUAAAUUAAGAACUUUUCACAAAUUACAGUUUUGCGACUUUGUUAUAAUAAGUAAAAUUCAGUGAUCAUAUACGGUAACUUUGUAAAUUUUCCAGCAGAGGAGACAUCAAAGGUCCUAAAAGUGAGGCUAUUAUGCAUUCAAACUUCUGUCGCUUUAAGACCCUCAAUGAUUCAAGUCGUACAAAUGUUAACACGUGAAGAUCAUCAAAUUCCAGAACCAUGUCAACCACCUCUUUUAAACUCAAGUUUAUUAGCUGCCGGCUUUCUCAAAUCCGGCAUAAGGAGUUUAGUGGCAACGCAAAACCAAAAAAUUCCAAAACUUAGCAUGCGUCGAGUUUAAAAAUGCCUUUUUAUCGUUCGAUUUAACACACACCAACCAUCCAAAGCAAGAAGUAUAGGAAGAACCAAGAAAACCAAAAAAAUCUAAAUUCAGCACGCUUCGAGUUUAAAAAUGCUUUUUUAUCAUUCAAUUUAACACACACCAACCAUGGAGUUCCAAAAUUAAAAUUCAUGAAUAGAACCCCAAAGAUGGGGCAAAGAUUAGAAGAAGAGAAUGCUGUAUUGACUUUUCACUAUUGAAUUAUUUUCCAACAGGGACGUUUAUUUGGGCCUCCUUGACACUGGAGUUGAAGUUGCCAGAUAUAUACGUGUACGUUUUCUGCUACUCCCAAAUGUAUGCUUUUCUUCUCUUUCAACAUAAACAUAUUCUUUAGCAAAGCACACACAAGAGAAGGCAUCAGAGAUACAUCCAUCACAAGAUCAAAUCGAAAUCAGGCCAAAGAUGUCAAAUUUAAAAAAACCUGUGGAUUCAACAUGCUGGAAACAAAAAGGGAAACGUCAAUGCUCUGAAGAAAGAUGCAUCCAAAUUAAAUAAAGACGUCGCGAAAUGUAUAGGGCGAGGUUGCCCGAUAAAAGAGAACUAAAUUUACUGGAGCGCCGAACGACAUACUUUCAUUCUAGAAAGCAGAAUCCAACCAGUGAUUCCACUGAAGUAUCAGCUUGCUACCAAUUUAAUAGAGAAUUAGCAAGGCAGAGAGCUGCUCUAAUAGGAGCCUCAUCUUCUACCUUGAGAACAGUAUCCAUUACCAUUUUCUUAUGGACAAAACGGAUGGCAUUGUGGUAUUAAAAAGAUUAUUCGAACGAAUAAUACUAUUAGCCAUGGAACUUAUUGUGAAAAUGAACAGCUACCAAGUGUAGAAAAUAUGAGUUCAGUAGACAUGCUACUUGACAUGGAAGCAGAACUUCUGGAAAAAAAAGAAAAGAAAAAGAAAUAUUGUGUCAUGCCGUGAGUAUUAUUGUUACAAGCUCCAAAUGAGGGACGAUGAAGAAAAUGGGGUUUUACAUGCUGGAAGAGUAUUCCAACAAUACUCAGUUGACGAAUUCAUCAAGCUUGAGAAUCAAAGGUUAGAUUUCUGUUCAUUUAAUCAAGAUUUAUUUAGAAUUGAUGUGUUAGCGGGGAUUCUUGAUGUUCUAAGACACGAAGAGAGAGAGCCAUGCAACAUUGGCAGACAAAGUUUUCUUCCUGCAAGUUUCAUAGGAGGUCCUGGGGAUAUGCGCCGACGAUAUAUGGACGCUAUUGCGUUAGUGGAAAAUUUUGGGAAACCUGAUAUAUUUUUGACAAUGACAUGUAAUCCAUCUUGGCCAGAAAUAGAAGAACAUUUAUUGGUAACAGAUGAGGUACAAAAUAGGCCCGAUUUAGUUAGUCGUGUGUUUAGAGCAAAGGUAGAAGAGAUGAAAACAGAUAUUCUAAAGAGUAAUAUAUUUGGAAAAGUUGUUGCUUUUAUGUACACUAUUGAAUUUCAAAAUCGUGGUCUUCCACAUGCUCAUUUUCUUAUCAUACUCAAAGACGAAUAUAAAUUGUUAACUCCGAAAGCUUAUGAUAGAGUUGUUUGUGCUGAAAUACCCAAUUCUGAUAAGAAUGAUUGCUUGUAUUCAGUUGUUAAUAAACAUAUGAUGCACGGACCUUGUGGUAGUUUAAAUCCUAAAUGUCCUUGUAUGAAGAACCGAGAAUACUGUAGUUCAAAUAUCUAAAAGAUUUUGCUGAUCAUACAUCAAAGGGAAAAAAUGGAUACCCAAUUUACAAAAGGCGAAAUAAUGGUAAACGUGUAAAUAUUAGAGGACAAUUUCUUGACAAUUCGUGGGUAGUUCCUUACAAUCCAUAUCUAUUGAGCAAAUUUAACUGUCAUAUUAAUGUUGAAGUUUGUUCUGAUAUUAAAGUUGUCAAAUACCUUUAUAAAUAUAUCUGCAAGGGACAUGAUAAAAUUGCCUUUUUCAUACAUGUUGAUGAUCCAAAUAUUGAAAUAGAUGAGAUCAAAGAAUAUCAAUCUGCUUGAUGGGUAUCUCCAUCAGAGGCAACUUGGUGUUUAUUUGGUUUUUCCAUUAGUGAAAUGACUCCAUCUGUUUAUCAUCUUCAGCUACAUCUUGAAGGACAAUAAUUUGUCUCUUUUCAAACCACACAGACCGUAAAUGCAAUUAUAAAUAAUCCCAUGAUUAGAAAAACAAUGUUGACGGAAUUCUUUUUGAUGAACAGAGAAAAUAAAGAUGCCAAGAAACUAAAUUUACUCUGAAAAGAAUUUCUAGAAUAUUUUGUAUGGUCCAAACAAUAUAAAAUGUGGACACGUCGACAACAGGACACUGUUAUUGGACGUAUUAUGACAUGUCAUCCAACAGAGGGGGAAAGAUAUUAUCUUAGAUUAUUAUUAAUGAAUAUUAGAGGACCAAAUCAUACCAACAUUUGCUAACUGUAAAUUAAAUAUGUUGUAGUACAUUUAGAGAAGACGCAGAAAAACAAGGAUUAUUACAAUGUGAUAAUAACUUCGUUGACUGUAUGUCAGAAGCUAUAAGAUAUCAAAUGCCUUAUAGUCUAAGACGUUUAUUUGCUACACUUUUGGUAUAUUGUAAUUCUGCUAACCCAAAAGAACUUUGGAACCGAUUUGAAGAUUCUAUGUCUGAAGACUUCAAGAUUUUGCCACAUUUGAAUGAGAAACAAAUUCGUCGUAUGGCUUUAGAUCAUAUUAACACCAUUUUGCAUUCAAUGGGUCGUGAUAUAAAUGAAUUUGCACUUGUACCAGAAAGAAUCUUAGCUUCAUCUGCUGCUAGGGAGGCUCAAGAUUCUCAUUUUGAAAGAAAUAUAAUUGUUAGAGAAGAAGAUUUAUUACUAGAAACAAAAUUGAACAAUGAACAGCGAAAAACAUAUGAUGUAAUCCUUGAUAGAAUAUUUAGGAAUAAAUCUGGAGCUUUUUUUAUCGAUGGUCCCGGAGGAACAGGCAAAACUUUUUUGUAUCGUGCAUUAUUGGCUGCUGUAAGGGAUUUAAAUCUGCUCAGAGAUUUCAUAUCUCUCCCACAUGUGAUUCAUCCUAAUAACUAUUGAUUAGGUUAAAAAAGUGCCCCUACACAUGUAAAAAAACUAAUUAAAAGGGCAAAAGAGACGAAGGCUAAAACAUUGACUAAAGAGGGGGCAAAGAGAUAUUUGCCUUUGACUUCUUCUCUGCCUACUGACUGCUACUCGGCUAGAUGCUCUUAUUUAAGAUCAAAAGGAUUCGUAUCUUUAGCAACAACAACCUCUGGUGUUGCAGCUUCAAUUCUUUCCGGAGGACGGACUGCUCACUCCCGUUUUAAAUUUCCUAUUGAUAUUGAUGAACAAUUCUUCUGUAAUAUUAGUAAGCAGAGUUCGCUUGCAUCAUUUAUACGAGAUGCCAAACUAAUUGUGUGGGAUGAAGUAUUAAUGGCCAAAAAACAAUUGAUAGAAGUUUUUGAUUUACUACUGAAAGAUCUAAUGGAUACAAAGACACUCUUUGGUGGAAAAGUUGUCGUUUUUUGCGGUGAUUUCAGACAAACUCUUCCAGUUGUUCGGAGCGGAAAAAAAGAGGAUUUCAUACAAGAAAGUUUAUUGUAUUCUGAAAUCUGGAACCAAUUUGAAAAAUUGCGAUUAUCAGUAAAUAUACGACCGAGAACAGAUCCUGCUUUUUGCGAAUAUUUGAUGCGAAUAGGGAGCGAAAAAGAAAAAACAAAUUGCCAAGAAUGAAUGAAAGAGCUUGGCUUAGUUUCUGCAAUGGAGAUCUAAAAUGAAUUCGUUCAAUAUCAGCUUACUUCAGAUAAUAUUCCACAAAACUACUUGAUGAUUCCAAGGAAAAUUGGCCCACAACCAUAACAAAGAUCAUAACAGUUCAUUGCUUGGUCUGCUUUCUACUUUGUCGCAACCAUUUAUAAUUCUUGAUCUGGGUGCAGAGCCUCAAGAAGUCACACGUUUAGCAUGCCAAAUAGUAAGUACUUCUGUGAUAAAUUCAAGGUUUUUUUAUUGGACUUAAAGUAUGUGCAUGCAUAAAUUAAAUUUAAGAUAUUAUAUCUUAUUAUUUUUUCAGUUUCUACCCAAUUGAAACCCUUUCUAUAUGAAAGAUUAUUUUUCCUGAAAAAUAUGGCUAACUAUGUAUAGAUUUUUUUUGGUAAUUAAUUUCCUUUAUAUUAAUCACCAAAGUGAGAUCAUUACAAACUAUAAUGAGCAUCAAACUCUGCUGAUUAUCUCAACUAAAACAUAGUAUCCUUAAUCUACUUCAAAGGACUAUACAAGCUGCUACUCUCUAUACUAAUAAGUAAUUCUGUAAUUGACUUCAAGCUUUAGGUUCCACUCUAACAUCACAAAUAUAGGCUAUCUCUCGAACUAUACUAUCACAUUGACGAUAUCUUUUUUCAAAGAUACGAUUAUUUCUUUCCAGCCAUAUUGCAUAGGAUGUUUCUAUGAAUAUCAAUAUACAAAUACUGGCCUGUUUGGAUUUCCCUUUUGCUUUCUUCAUGAUCCAUUGCAGAUGAUGUUGCCAAUUGUUGUAGCUUCCUUGAUCCUCCUGAAUCCAUUUCCAUAUUCUACUCCAUAGCUCUGUUGUAUAAGGACAAUGCAGAAACAGAUGAUCUCUUGUUUCUAGUUGUCCCUGACAUAAGACACAACAUUGAUCAGUGGUCACUCCCUAGUUUACUAUUCUAUCUCUGUAGGCAAUCUUCCAUGUAACAUUAACCAUAGGCUGAAGAUAGCCUUUGGUCUAGUAGAAUUCCGAAAUACUAAGCUCUUCCAACUCAUUCUUGGUAAGUUUCCCAGUAGUUGCAGAUAUAUAUGUUUGAUAGUCUCUUUGUCACCUCUUGAGCACUGAGUUUGUUGUAGGACAUCUCUGGCAACAAUUAUUCUUCGAACUAUCCAACAAGCUUGUUUUGGGAUAGGCAUAGUCUGAAUCUGUUGAUGUUUGAUGUAGUAGGCAUUGAUCCACCUAAUCCACAACUUGUCUUCUUUAUGAGCUAAAUCCCAGCAUACCUUAGCAAUUGCAGCUUUGUUCCAGAUCAGCAAGUUAAUGAUAUUCAUACCUCUAGUCGACUUUGGAGUACACAUUCUGUCCCAUGCCACAUAGCUCUUUCUGGUAAUAGUAUUAGUACCAGACCAUAUGUAGCUUCUACACAUAGCAUCUAUCAUCUUUAACACUUUGGAAGGCAGAAUAAACAGCUGAGCCCAAUAUGCUUGAAUCCCAAAGAUAACAGAUUUGACUAACUGUAUACGACCGGCAUAAGAAAGCUUUUUUGCAGUCCAAGAAGAUAUCUUUCUUGUGAUUCUAUCAAUUAAGGGUUGCCAUUGGAUCAAUGCAAUUUUCUUGAAGGACAAAGGAAUGCCUAAGUAUUUAAAAGGAAACUCCCCUUAUACAAAUCCAAGAUAAUUCAAAAUUUGUUAUUUCACAUCUUGUUUCACUCCCCCAAAAUAUACUGCAUUUUUACCCAUAUUAGCUUGUAAACCAGAUGCCUUAGAGAACUGAGUAAAGUAUUGGUAUAGGGUGGUUAUAGAAAGAAGAGGCUAACUAUGUAUAGAUACUCCUCUAGAUUUCCAACUUACUAACUUUCCUCUUUGCUAACAUCUAUAGUUGACUAUGAUGUUAUGUUCUAUCCAUGAUUUGCUGUUCAGUUAGGUGACAUGUACUUUGCUGCUAUUAGCAGCAAUGAGAUAAUGCUUUGUGCAUUCUAAGAUCCAAAAUCUAUUUCAACAAGGAGACUGGUCUUUUAACAAGGUUUAGAUAGUUUGUUGCCUUAACAAAUUGUUCCACAUUUUUUGCAUAAAUAGUUGUAAGUAGUGUGUGACUAUGUUUGUGAAGGCAAUUAGUAUUAAUUUUUGGAUAUUGGAGCGGCCUCCAAAUGUUUUGCAACAACAUCUUAUUCUUAGAGUGCAUGUACAUUUUCAAAAGUUUACAACGUUUUCCGCAUGAUGUUUUCCUUUAUACUAUUGAUGUCAACGCUUACUCUUUAAUAAAAGAAUUACACAUAUAUCAUUUAUAUAAUUUUAAUUUUAGCUCAGUUAUAAAAGUGUGUGGCCGUGUUUAACAAUUUACUGCCACUAAAAUAUUGAUAAACAAGAUUUUAUUUCUUAGAUGAAGUAUUUAUUAUCGAACAUCACUAAACACUUUAAAGUUUAUGUUAUAUAAACUACAUCAUUGUACGCGGGCUAUACAUGGGCAACAACCAGCUACACUACAUUAGAAGUGCAAAUUAACAAGUGAGACAAGCGGUCAUUUUUCCUUGGGAUUUAGUUACCUCAGUUUGUUAUUUGUAUAAUAUUUGUGUGUUUGUCAAAGCUACAUUUUCAGACGGAAGCUAAAAGCUAAAGAGCUUCAACGCAUCUUAUGAUAACUUAUGAUGGAGUCAAGAUGAACAACAAGGUUUAGGUGGACUCAUUUGGUCAUUUUUGUGCAAUAUUGGUAACGUCGUCUUCUGCCAACUGCGCUUUCACUCUGUCAAGCUUCGUGAUAGGACAGUUGACAUCCUAAAUAGUCUUUGCUAACCAGUCAGACUACAUUUCAUUCAGGUUAGUUUCAUUGUUCGUAGUAAUUCAAUUACUUAAAAUUCAGUUUUCCUACUUGGAUGUUUAUAUUAAAAGUUUUUUCACGAAACAUUUUAUGACUAUCCUAAUAACAGUUUUUGUCUUUGGGUUUCGUAUAGAGUAUCAACAUAUGACAUAUGCUAUCACUUAUAUAACCAGUUGUUUUAUAUGUCAUUGGAUGAGAUUUCUCACCUGUUGUUUAGCAUAGAAAUACAAUGAAGCGGAUAUCUUUCAUUGUUACCUGCAUCAUAAUCUUCCAAAUACCUCUUCGACUCAUCAAUGCACUUGGAGCUGCCAUUAUCUUCAUAGGAACUUUCAUGUAUUCACAAGUGAGUUUCUUCUUCACUGUCUAUUGCUUAAAAAAUUUGCUGCACCAAAGCACACUGGUGGAAGUGAAGAAGCAAAAUGAGUUCUAUUAGGAAUAUAGCAUUGAUCCUGGAAGGUACAUGGGUUCUUCAUUUUGUUUGUCCUUCUUCCUAUUUAAGGAAUCAUCGAAGUUAAUUCCUGAUCAUAGUUCCAAUAUAUGUUUGGUGAUAUUUUUCAUAUGGCUUCUAAAUUAUCAAUUUUCUUUCUGAAGACUUCAAUUGAAGGAUCUUUGAAUAAGCAAAGAAUUUUUUCUUUUGUGAAAAUUAAGUCAUGUUUUACUUUUGAAAUGGACCGAGUGCAAGUUGCUCAUACAGAUCAUAACAGCAGAGGUGUAAGAAGUCUAUCUCCUAAGGUAAGUGCACUAUUUUCAUGUUCGUCGUCUCAGUUGGUUUAUCAACUUUCUGUUACUGUGCUUAAUUCCUCUGUAAUUCAAUUUAGAGAGUUAAGUGUAUUUUCUUGCAAUUUAUGGUAAAAUUCUAUCUAUGGUGGUGUUAGUAAAUUAUCAGAUAGUAAAACGGAAGUAUUCUCUUUUUAUUAUCCCCAUAUGUAUUCUUUUUAUUGUGUUCAGAAUAUUAUUUCUGUUAACUUGAGUCGAAAGAUGAAUACUGAAGCUUGAUGUUAUGCUGAGUGCUUAGAUGCUUUCUCCGCUAUCGCUGGCUUGGAUUAGCAGGUUGGAUUUCUUAUUUUAUUUUACUUAGGAAUGUGUAUAAAACUGUAGAAUAUUGGUUGUGAAAUCAGAAAUUUAUUCACCACCGUCCUUUUUUUUCUUUACUCAAGUUUGAUUCUCACUUAAAGCUUUGAAUUUAGAGCUGCUCUCUUAUUUGGUUAAUUUGUUGGUUGCGCUGUCACGUUCACUCAAGUUUUGGUUACAGAUUUUUGGUUUCUUUAGUUGUCCAGUAAUUCUCAUGAAUUGCAGCUUUGAAAUUUGGCAACAACUAUAAGAUUCCAAAUACAUGUAUCUAUUAUUUAAGUCGGAAUGUAACUAUUGAGAGUUAUAGUUUAAAAUUUGACAAUAGCUAUGUCAAUAGUAAAAAACAUGUAUGAAAAACAUGGUUGGUAAUAUCGCUUUCCGUGCAAAGUGCAACUGCUCUUUAGUUGAAUACGUAAAAUAGGUAUCUUGCUGCAUAUGAAAGAUCCUAAGCAUCCAAUUCGUGCCAACUACAAAAAUCUUGAACAUACUCAUUGGAGGAUGAUCCUCCCUUAAUGUAUUUGAGAGGGACGUAAAUCCGUGAUAUCUCAUUCAUCUGCUCUUCUUUUAUAUCUUUGCAACAGAAAAAUACCAUUAGCAAAUACCAUCAUCCUGCUUGCAACACUCAAAAUAUGCCUAAUUAUACUUUUCAAUCUAUAUCUACUAUUACAAUUUAUCCAACACAUACCAACUUAUUAUUCUUGAAUUGUUUUAUGGAAAUAACAACUCCUACUCUUAAAUUUGUUUUUGCAGAUUUUUGCUUCCAUUGGAAGCAUAUAACAUUUGGAAUUAAAGCUCAUUUCAACUUUGUUUCCUCUACUUCUAGCAGUUGUAGCGAAGGGCAUUUUGGACUUUACACCUUCCUAAUGCAACGUGUCCAUCAAAUGCAAACCUCAACUGCUGAAACGUCACUGCAUCGGUUGCACUCCUCUUGGAUGCUUCUCUAUUGAUUUAUUUCCUGGCUAUGUGCUACUCCAUUACAUACUAGAAGGUCGGAUUCUCUCACUCAUGGAAGCUGCUGUUCUCCCUCUUCAUUCUCAAUACUUCAUUUUUCCCUCUUAUUUCACCAUAUCCAUACAUACAGAAGUUCCUUUGAUGAAAGAGAACUCUUAAGGUGGAGAAGAAAGACAGAGAAAUAGCCCCUCAAACAAAAAAAGGUAAAAAUUGCUAUUGUAGAUUGUUCUUUUAUGUAUGAAUUAUUUCAAAUAAUGCUUGACUAGCUGGUUUAACAAUAUGAAAGUUUGGGUUCUCUUCAUACUUAUUAAUUUCGCAAUUCAACGAUUAUUGUGUGUUAAAUAUACGAGUGUGAUUGAAAGCAGAUAGGAUUAAGGUACAGAUAAUGGUAGUAAUUUCAGUUGUUUUAAACUCAUUUUUUGAAGAGUAUUCUCUUUCGAUCUGGUUAGAUUCUCCGGUCCAGAACUUGGAGAUCUUGCUCCAUCUCUUCUACAGCUCUUCAAAAAAAGGUGAGUUCGGUCUAGAAUAAAUGGUACACAAAUUAAGCAAGCAGAUGCCUACUAAUUAGUACAGAAUUAAACUGUCAUACAAAAAGUCUGAGGUAUGAACUAUGUACCUAUGAUGUCUGAUGAGUGAUGAUAUGCCUUCUUUUUUCAUGUUACUUAUUUGGCUUAAAUGUCUAAGUUCGUAGCCGGAAAUACUUGCUUCAGAUAGAGCUGAAAAAAACUAUUGGUUUGGUGAGUGGAGCCAUGUACUUCAGUCAGUAAGAUGACCCUCUCAUUCGCAUAUCCCCUUGUUGCUAAAAUAGAAAGUUACCAAAGCCAGGUAUACUAGAGGGCACUGGGUCUUAUUUCGCGCCAUUAAAUUCUUUGUAGUUUAACGUUUGAUACAAACCUCCUCCUAUUAUUUAUAUUACAAGUAGUGGACAACUGACGAGGAUAAAUUGUUUGAUGUAGUUGUUAGACACUAGUGACAAGUAAGUAUCACUGCAACUAAAUUUUGCUUCUUUGUGUUCUUUCUUUCCACCAUUCAGUGACAUCCGAUAGACUUAGUGAUGCCAAGGUAGAUUAUUGUCCACAGAACACAAACAAAGAGACAAAGAGAUGUGAUUGAUAUAACAUUGUCAACUUUUCAUGGCCUCAUUCUCUCAUAUUUCUUCUUAACACAUUAUAUCGUAAGAAUUUAGUUUGUGAAGAGAUGCUUUCUUGAAAUAUCCAUCCUAUUCUAACCAAAGUAAUUGAGAUAAUAGUAGAAGGCGGUGAAGAUGUUAAAAUCUCCAUAUAGGACAUUCAUUCCUACGGAUUGUGCAUCAUUUCAAAUGUUUAUGUUGUCAAAAUUAUAGUUCCAUCAAGGCACUUUGUGGGAUGGAAUUUAGGAAGCAUGCCUUUUACUUAGAGUAUAUGAUUAGUGACUUAAGAGUAGAAGAAGUUUUUUUUUUUUUUAUGUUUACCACUAGGUGUUGAUAUGUGUUAGUCAGUUUUAAAAGUUAAGGCACUUACAAAUGAACGAAAAUAUGAACACCAAGUUAGCAAUAGUAAGUAACUUAUUAUCAUUUAUGCAAAAUUAUUCAAAAGGGUAUAAGUAUAAAUUUUCAAGAUGCCAUUUUGGUACCUCUAGCCGUUAGACUAUCUGUUGGGGCUUAGCUUCUUAAGGCGUCUCCAUUUGCUAGCUCACCAAAUGUGCACUAUUUUCUGCUUAUAAUACUAGGAUAAAUUGGUAUAGAUUUGUCAAUAGCCUAAGUGAUAUUAGUAAUCAAGACUGAGGUUACCUUUCAAAGGCAACACUUUUAGUUCUGUCAUGCUUGCCCUCUAAGAAAUUUUCUGGUACUCCAUGCUUUUCUCUUCUUCUUUUAAGUUGGAAAAUGUUCUGUUAGUUUUUGUUUCUCUUAAUGCAAUCAAUUAGGGCUAAAAGUACAAAUGCUAGCCUUUCCUAAGCAAGCAGAAUUUUAGGCCUUUCCUAAGCAAGCAGAAUUUUAGGCCUUUCCAAGGCAAGCUGAAGUUAAUCUUUUUGAAGCAUGGUGAAGCCGAGUCUACUGCAUUGUUGGAACCUGUAAUGAAGCACAAACAUGGAUGUAUAUAACAAAUAAUUUUCUAAAAUGGCAUGUCAAUUGCAAUCAACUACUUCAAUUCUCUUACUCUUUGCUUAGUUGCUCACAUCUUAUCUAUUUAGGUACCAGAGUUUCUUCAGGCAAUACAAGAAAGGUGCUUACCAACAUCAUGACCGUUUGUCAACAUAGCAUGUGUAGACAGUAUUACCAUGGGUGUGAAUAAAAUAUUCAUUUGGUAACCAUACAAUAUGAGCAAAUAUUUUGUUCCUAAACGCACGUAGAUAAAUGAAGCAACAUAUAUGUAAUGUUGUCUUCAACGCAUGUACUUAUUCUUUUUACGAUUUUAUUGAAUCAUGCAUUCAAGCAAUACAAAUAGAAAUAACUAUUUCGGCUUUUACAAUAUUGGGCCCGUGCUGGCACGGGCUAUCACUACCUAGUAGAUUAUAGAAGAGCAAGUUUUUUGACAUGGUUGUUUAAAGUCAUUAACUUUUAUUUUAGGGCGUUUUAGUCUUUUUAAGUAUCUCCUUAUACAUUCUUUCUUUCUUUUCUACUUUUCUCUUGCCAUUAGUUUCUUUCCCUUUUUUCAGUCUUAUUGCAAUCACUGAGUAACUUAAGCCUAGCUAUACGGCGACGAGAAAGGUGAUUGUUAUAAAGCUGAUUGAGUCGUCAUGGCAAGGAAUGCUUUCUUUUUUGUGGGAGGUAAAUCUUUUGAAAUUAGGGGAAAUGGAGACAAUUGGUACGAGAUUAUUGAGAGAAGGAGGAAUUUUGUUAACAGAUUAACUGUUGAUAGGAUCAAUCUUCUGGAGGUUUGCAAAUACCUUAAACUUGCUUCAAUUGGGAAAGGAAAUAUUGUUAGAAAGUGGAAGAUUGAGGAUCAGUUGUAUUUGUACUCUAUCUUUCAAAAUUUUAAUGUGUAUGGAAUAUAUAUCAGAAUAGUUUCACAAAAAGGAAAGAAGAAGUCAACCAUAAUCAUUCCAGAAAUUGACGUUGAUGCAGGAUGGGCUGAUGUUGCUGAGAAGAUGAUAAAGUUUUUGGAGAAAGAAGUAAGCCAAAACAAAAAUUGCAAUCAGGUGCCGCAAAAGAAUGAAAGCUAUGCAGAGAUUGCUGAAAUCAAAAGCUGGCCCAAGGAUGGAGUUAAAGUAGUAGAAUGUGUCAGAAAAGAACAGAAUGUGAUCGUCAUUGACAAAAGUUCCUCGAAGUCUAGGGUGGAGUAUCUGCAAAGAUGCGUGGUUGGGUAUUUUGGGAGUGUAAACUCGACCAUUCCCAGUAAGAGUGAGGUCUUAAGGUGGGCUGAAAAAUCAUGGAAGAUUUCGGCAGGGGUUAAAGUUAAAGAGUUAAAUAGAGUCCUCUUUUUAUUUGAAUUUCCUUCAAGAAAGGAAGCUGAAAAAAUUAAAAUGGGUGGAUGGUCUCUUAAUCACUGCAAACUACAUUUGGAAUGGUGGUCGCCGGUGAGUCUGUGUCAUCGAAAAAAUUGGUGCCCCAAUUACAUCUGGAUUAAAGUUCUGGGCUUCCCAACCCAUCUAUGGUCAGAUAAUAUCUUUUGAACUAUAGGGGAGAAGCUGGGUGGAUUCAUUGAAAUGGAUGAAGAUAUCAGAGAAAGAAAGCACAUGAGAUGGGCCAGAAUCUGUGUUCGAUAUUCAGAUGUCAGAGUACCAGCAAAUAUAGAAUUAGUAGUGGAUGAUUUAGUGUGCUUGGGUUGAAAAAAUUGAUCGGAAAAUUGUUGGAGAUCGUCGGCGAGACUGGGAAUAUGAACAGGCAGCGCAAUUAUGGCAGCAGAAGAAGCCGCAGGUUCCCAAUGGAGAAUUUUCAUUAAUAGUAGGCACGCGUGGCAAACGUGACAGCUGGCAUAAUAAGCGAGAUGUUGGAAAUUUGCAAAGGGACCAAAGAAUAAAUGGAGAUCCUCGUAGAGCAAACCCUCGAAUAAAUAUGAAGAAGUCUGAUAGCGAACAUGUUGUUCUAAGUCAUAAUAUGAAAAAGGAUUUUUAAGGAAAAGGCUCAUAUAUUGAUAAAAUACAGAGGCCCAAAAAAGUUGCUCAGAUUUACAGGCCCAUUGAGAAGCCCAAUCCUGGAAAUGAUCAUAAAAUAGGAGAUGUUGGACAAAAGGAGGGUCCAGUUAAAAUAGGUGGUGCAUCUGAAUUAUCUGUGGGCCCUAUUAAUACAAGCCCAUUGAGUGUACUAAGUCCAAGUGUUCAGACAGGACUGAUUAUUAAUCAGAAAGAACAGGAGACCCGACCCAGUUGCUCUUAUAAAGUGAAUAUAUGUCUUCCUGAUCCCCGCUCUUGAGGAAAAGUGAAUAUAUGUCUUAUAAAGUGAAUAUAUGUACAAUUUGCAAUUGUACCAGCAGAGUGCAGCAGUUGUCAAGAAUUUUUUGAAGAGAUGACAGAAAACAUAGAGGGGAGUGCAACAACAAAUGUACAUCCAAUAGAGCCAAACUUGGAGAUGAUUGUUCAAGAGUCUUCUAGUCCUGUAAUUAAUUUUUUUGAUGAGGGUAAAAUUCCAUAUAAUGAAGUGGAAAAUAUACAUGCAGUUGAUUCUCCUUCUCAGAUAUUAAUGCUUCCAUGGUACGAAAAUGGCCCAUGCAAUAUCCAGGAGAGACUAAACUUCAUUGAUGCUUCUCGCUGGGUGAAAUCGAACAUGCUAAAGUUAUGUCGUCAAUUGGGUGUCAAGGCGGAUGUUCAGGAGAAUGACUUGCUGAACCUUCUCAUGAGAAUUGAAAGGAGUAGAUUAGCAAGACCUAAGCCACAAAACAAAAGCCCAUCU